rnacentral:rRNA from 1 species
UACGAAGGGUGCAAGCGUUACUCGGAAUUACUGGGCGUAAAGCGUGCGUAGGUGGUGAGUUAAGUCUGUCGUAAAAGCCCCGGGCUCAACCUGGGAAUGGCGAUGGAUACUGGCUCGCUAGAGUGCGGUAGAGGAGAGUGGAAUUCCCGGUGUAGCAGUGAAAUGCGUAGAGAUCGGGAGGAACAUCAGUUGCGAAGGCGGCUCUCUGGACCAGCACUGACACUGAGGCACGAAAGCGUGGGGAGCAAACAGG